rnacentral:rRNA from 1 species
AUUGAACGCUGGCGGCAGGCCUAACACAUGUAAGUCGAACGAGUGGCGGACGGGUGAGUAAUGUCUGGGAAACUGCCUGAUGGAGGGGGAUAACUACUGGAAACGGUAGCUAAUACCGCAUACCAUCGGAUGUGCCCAGAUGGGAUUAGCUAGUAGGUGGGGUAAAGGCUCACCUAGGCGACGAUCCCUAGCUGGUCUGAGCGGAUGACCAGCCACGCUGGAACCGAGACACGGUCCAGACUCCUACUGGAGGACUCAGUGGGGAAUAUUGCACAAUGGGCGCAAGCCUGAUGCAGCCAUGCCGCGUGUAUGAAGAAGGCCUUCGGGUUGUAAAGUACUUUCAGCUGGGAGGCGUUACCCGCAGAAGAAGCACCGGCUAACUCCGUGCCAGCAGCCGCGGUAAUUC